rnacentral:rRNA from 1 species
UACGGAGGGGGGCUAGCGUUGUUCGGAAUUACUGGGCGUAAAGGGAGCGUAGGCGGACAUUUAAGUCAGGGGUGAAAUCCCAGAGCUCAACUCUGGAACUGCCUUUGAUACUGGGUGUCUUGAGUGUGAGAGAGGUAUGUGGAACUCCGAGUGUAGAGGUGAAAUUCGUAGAUAUUCGGAAGGAAACACCAGUGGCGAAGGCGACAUACUGGCUCAUUACUGACGCUGGAGGCUCG